rnacentral:rRNA from 1 species
GACGAACGCUGGCGGCGCGCCUAACACAUGCAAGUCGAACGAGCGAGAGAGAGCUUGCUUUCUCGAGCGAGUGGCGAACGGGUGAGUAACGCGUGAGGAACCUGCCUCAAAGAAGGGGACAACAGUUGGAAACGACUGCUAAUACCGCAUAAGCCCACGACCCGGCAUCGGGUAGAGGGAAAAGGAGCAAUCCGCUUUGAGAUGGCCUCGCGUCCGAUUAGCUAGUUGGUGAGGUAACGGCCCACCAAGGCGACGAUCGGUAGCCGGACUGAGAGGUUGAACGGCCACAUUGGGACUGAGACACGGCCCAGACUCCUACGGGAGGCAGCAGUGGGGAAUAUUGCACAAUGGGGGAAACCCUGAUGCAGCGACGCCGCGUGGAGGAAGAAGGUCUUCGGAUUGUAAACUCCUGUUGUUGAGGAAGAUAAUGACGGUACUCAACAAGGAAGUGACGGCUAACUACGUG